rnacentral:lncRNA from 1 species
GGUUUGAUCCAAGACCAGAGAAAUGAUGUGCGUACCCAAGCGAAGCCCAGGAAGGAUUGUUGUCCACUAUUAAUAGCCUGGUGGAUCAAGGAGUGCCAAUGCAAUGACCCACUGUGUGUAAUUCCCCUGUGUGGCUGGUAUUAAAGGGAGAUAAAAAGAUGCAUCUGACUGUGGAUUUCAGAGCAUUAAAUGCUGUAACUCCGCAAACAUCACCUCUUCUUGUUGAAAUGCCAGAAAUUAUGGCUGUAAUAGUACAAGGAGAUAAGUGGUUUUCAGUCAUAGAUCUAGCAAAUGCAUUCUUCUUCAGCCCCCUGGAAAAGAAGUGUUGGUAAAUGCUUGUUUUUACAUUUUAGGAGAAACAAAAUAGUUCCACAUGAGUUCUUCAAGUAUUCACAAGGUCCUGUGAUCUUUCAUCUGUGCAUCAUUCAAAUGUGGGAGAAAUUAGCCUGCACAUCCAGGAAACAUGUCUCAUCAUAUAUGGAUCAUGGCCAAAUCUGGGGGAUUCUGAGAAACAACUGUGUCAGCAAACAGGAAGUUUUGGCUGCAAUCCAACAGGAAGGAUUGAAAGUCAAUACACAAAAAGUUCAGUUAGUACAACAAGAGCUUUCAACAUCCUCAAAGGCAUCUAAUUGUUCAGGACAUACUGAGUAUCUGCACUUACAGAAAUCAAGCCUCAAGUGGAACUCCCCUGAAAGCAAGGCACCAGGAAGCCAAGAUUAG